rnacentral:rRNA from 1 species
UACGAAGGGUGCAAACGUUGCUCGGAAUUACUGGGCGUAAAGCGCGUGUAGGCGGCUAUGUAAGUCGGGCGUGAAAUCCCACGGCUCAACCGUGGAAGUGCACCCGAAACUGCGUAGCUAGAGUCCUGGAGAGGAAGGUGGAAUGCUUGGUGUAGAGGUGAAAUUCGUAGAUAUCAAGCGGAACACCGGUGGCGAAGGCGGCCUUCUGGACAGUGACUGACGCUGAGACGCGAAAGCGUGGGGAGCAAACAGG